UACAGAGGGGGCAAGCGUUGUUCGGAAUUACUGGGCGUAAAGGGCGCGUAGGCGGCCUGCUAAGUCGAACGUGAAAUCCCUGGGCUCAACCCAGGAACUGCGUCCGAUACUGGUUGGCUUGAAUCCGGGAGAGGGACGUGGAAUUCCCAGUGUAGCGGUGAAAUGCGUAGAUAUUGGGAGGAACACCAGUGGCGAAGGCGGCUCACUGGACCGGAACUGACGCUGAGGCGCGAAAGCGUGGGGAGCAAACAGG
rnacentral:rRNA from 1 species